rnacentral:rRNA from 1 species
UACGGAGGGUGCAAGCGUUAUCCGGAUUCACUGGGUUUAAAGGGUGCGUAGGAGGGCAGGUAAGUCAGUGGUGAAAUCUUCGAGCUUAACUCGGAAACUGCCGUUGAUACUAUCUGUCUUGAAUCCCGUGGAGUUGAGCGGAAUAUGUCAUGUAGCGGUGAAAUGCUUAGAUAUGACAUAGAACACCAAUUGCGAAGGCAGCUCGUUACACGAAGAUUGACUCUGAGGCACGAAAGCGUGGGGAUCAAACAGG